rnacentral:rRNA from 1 species
UACAGAGGUCUCAAGCGUUGUUCGGAUUCAUUGGGCGUAAAGGGUGUGUAGGUGGCGCCGUAAGUCGGGUGUGAAAUUUCGGAGCUUAACUCCGAAACUGCAUUCGAUACUGCGGUGCUUGAGGACUGGAGAGGAGACUGGAAAUUCAUGGUGUAGCAGUGAAAUGCGUAGAGAUCAUGAGGAAGACCAGUGGCGAAGGCGGAUCUCUGGAC